AUUCAGCUGAAGAGUCCCAAAAUAGGACGAUACGCUCCUCCUGGAU
rnacentral:hammerhead_ribozyme from 1 species